rnacentral:pre_miRNA from 1 species
GGGUUGAAUCCUGUCUUUAAGUAGAGAUAAAUUACUCUCAUAGAAAUGAAUCUGAAGUAAUUUUCCCUUCAAGUCAAGCAUUUUGU